rnacentral:rRNA from 1 species
AGAGAGAGACAUGCGCGCAUAUCAAUAAGCGGAGGAAAAGAAACUAACAAGGAUUCCCUUAGUAACGGCGAGUGAAGCGGGAAGAGCUCAAAUUUGAAAUCUUCAAGGUUGUACCUUGACGAAUUGUAGUUUAAAGAAGUGUUUUCUGCUGAAGUUUUGGUAAAAGUUCUUUGGAAUAGGACAUCAUAGAGGGUGAGAAUCCCGUAUUUGACCAUUAUUUUCAGCUUUGUGAUACACUUUCAAAGAGUCGGAUUGUUUGGGAAUGCAGUCCAAAAUGGGUGGUAAAUUUCAUCUAAAGCUAAAUAUUGGCGAGAGACCGAUAGCGAACAAGUACCGUGAGGGAAAGAUGAAAAGAACUUUGAAAAGAGAGUUAAACAGUACGUGAAAUUGUCAAAAGGGAAGCGUUUGACACCAGUGUUGUUUUCUCGAAAAUCAAUUAAAAAUGGCUCGAUUUUGUAUUGCUUGAGACCUUAAAAGCUCACUGUACAUUUUUCGUGUCUUUUUUAAUGCACUUUUCGUUUAACAAGUCAACAUCAGUUUCUUUUGUUGUAAAAGGGUCAUUGGAAGGUGGCUUUCUUUUCGGAGAAAGUGUUUAUAGCCUUUGGCCUCUGCAAUCGGAAGAGACUGAGGUCUGCAGCGUAGACUCUUCGGGGUUAGAUACAUUUGUGCUAAGUUAUAGCUUUUUAUAGACAACUUGUUGACUAUAAUUAGUCUUGUAGCUUACUCGCCUAUACUAUUUUACCUACGCUUAGGAUGUUGAGUCGUAGAGCACGCAG